rnacentral:sRNA from 1 species
GAAAACCUCACUCUCAGCCUCUGGUUCUUAGCAUAGGGCCUUUUUUCCAUGCUAAAACAACCUGUGGCCUUUAAAUUAUCAGUAACUUGAAAUGCUGGAAAAUUGGGGUUUUGCCAUAUCACUCUGACAGUUGAUGAGGAAAGGCUAUUUUUCAACAUUGAGACAAGAGACUUCAUUUUUUUCUUUUUAUUUCUUCCAAACAGAUAGAACAGUUGAAACAAAAGGCAGAUAAGAGAGUCAGAAGUGUUCGCUAUAAAGUAAUAGAAGAUUAUAGUGGUGCCUGCUGCCCUUUGAAUAAAGGAAUCAAAACCUUCUUCACAAGCCCCUGCACUGAAGAGCCUCGAAUACAGCUGCAAAAAGGGGAAUUCAUUUUAGCCACAAGAGGUUUACGAUACUGGUUGUAUGGAGACAAAAUUCUUGAUGAUUCCUUUAUAGAAGGUGUUUCAAGAAUAAGGGGAUGGUUCCCUAGAAAAUGUGUGGAAAAGUGUCCCUGUGAUGCUGAAACAGAUCAAGCCCCAGAGGGGGAGAAGAAAAAUA